CCUUGGUGCUUUUAUUACCCAUUUAAAAAAAAAUUUGAGCCACUCCAAUUUUGUCGUAUGGUCCUUUUAAUUUGCAUUUUGUUAAUAACUGAUGAUGAAGAGUAUCUUUUCAUGUGCUUAUUGACCGUUGUAUUUUUGUUGUCAAAUGUUUUACAUAUUUCGUAUUUUUAGUUGGAUUGUUUUAAGGAGUUUUGUGAGUUCUUUAUAUAGUUGGGAUAUGAGUGCUUUAUCAGAUGUAUACAUUAUGAGUAUUUUGUCCUAGUCUGUGGCUUUUGGUAUCUUUUGAAACGCAAGUUUUAAACUGUCAUGAGUUUCAGUUUAUCAGAUUUUUUCUUUAAUGGACCAUGUUUUUGAUGUCAUAUCUAAAAAUCUUUGUGUAGGUAAGGUUAUGAAGAUUUUCUUUGUUCUCUUCUAAAAGUUUAAUAGUGGUUUUAGUUCAUACAUUUAGGCCUCUGAUCCAUUUUCAGGUUUUUCUUUUUUUUUUUUUUUUUAAAUGCUGUGAGGAAUUAUGUUGGCAUUGUCAUCUUUGCUGAAAAUAGGAGUCUAUUUCUGGACCUAGUUCUUUUCCAUCAGUCUGUAGUGUGUUCUUAUGCUAAUACCACACUGUCUUGGUUACUGUAGCUUAUAGUAAAUUUGAAAUUGGAACACGAACAUCUUCCCAUUGUCUUGUUUGUCUUGGAUUUUUUUAACUUUUUUUUAGAGAGCACAAGUCAGGGAGAGGGGCCGAGGGAGAGAAAUCUUAAGCAGGCUCCAUACUGAGCAUGGAGCCUGACGUGGGGCUCUAUCCCACGACCCUGGGAUCAUGACCUGAGCUGACCUGAGUUGGACCCUUAAUCAACUGAACCACCCAGGCGCCUCCAUUUUCUUGUUUUUCAAAAUUGUUUUGGCUAUUUUGGGUCCUUUGCAUGAGUUUGAGGCUUGAUUUGUCUGUUUCUAUGAAAACACCUGCUAGGAUUUUGAUGGAGGUUGCACUGAAUCCAUGGUCCAGUGUGGGGAGAAUUUCCAUCUUAAUGAUACUGAAUAUUCUAUCCAUGAACAUGGAAAGUUGCUUUCCAUUAAAGUAGUAUGCUUUUGCACAUA